rnacentral:rRNA from 1 species
GAACGGGUGAGUAACACGUGGGUGAUCUGCCCUGCACUUUGGGAUAAGCCUGGGAAACUGGGUCUAAUACCGAAUAUGAUCAUGCUCUUCAUGGGGUGUGGUGGAAAGCUUUUGCGGUGUGGGAUGGGCCCGCGGCCUAUCAGCUUGUUGGUGGGGUAAUGGCCUACCAAGGCGACGACGGGUAGCCGGCCUGAGAGGGUGACCGGCCACACUGGGACUGAGAUACGGCCCAGACUCCUACGGGAGGCAGCAGUGGGGAAUAUUGCACAAUGGGCGCAAGCCUGAUGCAGCGACGCCGCGUGAGGGAUGACGGCCUUCGGGUUGUAAACCUCUUUCAGCACAGACGAGGCGCGAGUGACGGUAUGUGCAGAAGAAGGACCGGCCAACUACGUGCCAGCAGCCGCGGUAAUACGUAGGGUCCGAGCGUUGUCCGGAAUUACUGGGCGUAAAGAGCUCGUAGGUGGUUUGUCGCGUUGUUCGUGAAAACUCACAGCUUAACUGUGGGCGUGCGGGCGAUACGGGCAGACUUGAGUACUGCAGGGGAGACUGGAAUUCCUGGUGUAGCGGUGGAAUGCGCAGAUAUCAGGAGGAACACCGGUGGCGAAGGCGGGUCUCUGGGCAGUAACUGACGCUGAGGAGCGAAAGCGUGGGGAGCGAACAGGAUUAGAUACCCUGGUAGUCCACGCCGUAAACGGUGGGUACUAGGUGUGGGUUUCCUUCCUUGGGAUCCGUGCCGUAGCUAACGCAUUAAGUACCCCGCCUGGGGAGUACGGCCGCAAGGCUAAAACUCAAAGAAAUUGACGGGGGCCCGCACAAGCGGCGGAGCAUGUGGAUUAAUUCGAUGCAACGCGAAGAACCUUACCUGGGUUUGACAUGCACAGGACGCCAGUAGAGAUAUUGGUUCCCUUGUGGUCUGUGUGCAGGUGGUGCAUGGCUGUCGUCAGCUCGUGUCGUGAGAUGUUGGGUUAAGUCCCGCAACGAGCGCAACCCUUGUCCUAUGUUGCCAGCGGGUUAUGCCGGGGACUCGUAGGAGACUGCCGGGGUCAACUCGGAGGAAGGUGGGGAUGACGUCAAGUCAUCAUGCCCCUUGUGUCCAGGGCUUCACACAUGCUACAAUGGCCGGUACAAAGGGCUGCGAUGCCGUGAGGUGGAGCGAAUCCUUGUAAAGCCGGUCUCAGUUCGGAUCGGGGUCUGCAACUCGACCCCGUGAAGUCGGAGUCGCUAGUAAUCGCAGAUCAGCAACGCUGCGGUGAAUACGUUCCCGGGCCUUAUACACACCGCCCGUCACGUCAUGAAAGU